UGGCUCCGGACCAGGCUGUUGUUGUUCUCAACGUGGUCCGCCGCGGAGCCAUAAAAGGGAACAGCGGCAGCCUCCCCGGCGGAGCGCAGCG